rnacentral:rRNA from 1 species
GAGUUGAUCCUGGCUCAGAACGAACGCUGGCGGCAUGCCUAACACAUGCAAGUCGAACGAGAUCCUUCGGGGUUUAGUGGCGCACGGGUGCGUAACGCGUGGGAAUCUGCCCUUUGGUUCGGAAUAACAGCUGGAAACGGCUGCUAAUACCGGAUGAUGACGUAAGUCCAAAGAUUUAUCGCCAGAGGAUGAGCCCGCGUUGGAUUAGGUAGUUGGUGGGGUAAAGGCCUACCAAGCCGACGAUCCAUAGCUGGUCUGAGAGGAUGAUCAGCCACACUGGGACUGAGACACGGCCCAGACUCCUACGGGAGGCAGCAGUGGGGAAUAUUGGACAAUGGGGGAAACCCUGAUCCAGCAAUGCCGCGUGAGUGAUGAAGGCCCUAGGGUUGUAAAGCUCUUUUACCCGAGAAGAUAAUGACUGUACCGGGAGAAUAAGCCCCGGCUAACUCCGUG